CACAUGCAAGUCGAGCGAUUACUUCGGUAAAGAGCGGCGGACGGGUGAGUAACGCGUGGGUAACCUGCCCUGUACACACGGAUAACAUACCGAAAGGUAUGCUAAUACGAGAUAAUAUGCUUUUAUCGCAUGGUAGAAGUAUCAAAGCUUUUGCGGUACAGGAUGGACCCGCGUCUGAUUAGCUAGUUGGUAAGGUAACGGCUUACCAAGGCGACGAUCAGUAGCCGACCUGAGAGGGUGAUCGGCCACAUUGGAACUGAGACACGGUCCAAACUCCUACGGGAGGCAGCAGUGGGGAAUAUUGCACAAUGGGCGAAAGCCUGAUGCAGCAACGCCGCGUGAGCGAUGAAGGCCUUCGGGUCAUAAAGCUCUGUCCUCAAAGAAGAUAAUGACGGUACUUGAGGAGGAAGCCCCGGCUAACUACGUGCCAGCAGCCGCGGUAAUACGUAGGGGGCUAGCGUUAUCCGGAAUUACUGGGCGUAAAGGGUGCGUAGGUGGUUUCUUAAGUCAGAGGUGAAAGGCUACGGCUCAACCGUAGUAAGCCUUUGAAACUGGGAAACUUGAGUGCAGGAGAGGAGAGUGGAAUUCCUAGUGUAGCGGUGAAAUGCCUAGAUAUUAGGAGGAA
rnacentral:rRNA from 1 species